GCGGGUGUGGUGUAUGGUACACGGCUAUUUUCAGUAUUCAACACUAUUCAACAUCUUCUAAAAAUGCCGGCAGCUGAUCCGGGUUCGACCCCCGGCACCCGCA